rnacentral:rRNA from 1 species
UCAGACGAUGCGUCAUGCAUAUCAAUAAGCGGAGGAAAAGAAACUAACAAGGAUUCCCCUAGUAACGGCGAGUGAAGCGGGAAGAGCUCAAAUUUGAAAUCUUAAAGGGUUUCCCUUUACGAAUUGUAGUUUAAAGAAGUGUUUUCUGUUGAGGUUUUGGUAAAAGUUCUUUGGAAUAGGACAUCAUAGAGGGUGAGAAUCCCGUAUUUGACCUUUACUUUCAACUUUGUGAUACACUUUCAAAGAGUCGAAUUGUUUGGGAAUGCAGUCCAAAAUGGGUGGUAAAUUUCAUCUAAAGCUAAAUAUUGGCGAGAGACCGAUAGCGAACAAGUACCGUGAGGGAAAGAUGAAAAGAACUUUGAAAAGAGAGUUAAACAGUACGUGAAAUUGUCAAAAGGGAAGCGUUUGACACCAGUGUUGUUUUUCUGAAAAUCAAUUAAAGAACUGUUUAUGCUAAGCCGUUUAGACUUUAUCAGCUAUCUGUUUAGUUUUGAGCCUUUCUUUAAUGCACUUUUCAGUUAACAAGUCAACAUCAAUUUCUUUUGCUGUAAAAAAGCUUGAGGAAGGUGGCUUGAGAUUCGUCUUAAGUGUUUAUAGCCUCUUGCCUAUGCAGUCGGAGAGAUUGAGGUCCUGCAGCGUAGAUCCUUCGGGGCUAAAUGCAUUUGUGCUAAGUUAUAGCAUUUUAUAGACAACUUGUUGACUAUGAUUUGUCUUGUAGCUUACUCGCUUAUGUUAUUUUACCUACGCUUAGGAUGUUGAGCGCAUGUCUCUCUCU